AUCAUAGUGCCAGGGGCGUAGAGCCGUAGCAGGCACACCUGGACUCACAUAGGCUAUCAUGACAUACAAGGGCUAAUGGAUCAUUCAACAUUCAUCCACAUCAACAACAAAGUAUGCAAUGCAACAUAUUCGUGAAUUCUAAUGCAAACAACCUAACAUAUCUCAUGGCAUUCAUGAUGCGUGAAUCAUGCUAAAACAUUUCAUUAAUUUGCUUUAAAACUUAAAGUUUAUUCCACUCACCUCUGGCUAGCUCUGAAGAGACUCUGAAGCAGCUGGCUCACUGCUGGGGGUCUCGGUUCCUCGGGUCCGAACCUACACAGGUGGACUCAAAUGAGGGACCAAACAUACAUGAACAUGACUCUAAAAUACUCCCCAAAAACCCCCUAAAACAUCCUGAAAACAU
rnacentral:lncRNA from 1 species